rnacentral:miRNA from 1 species
GAGUAGCCAAAUUUCUUUCUGUUUUGCCUAUGUAGGAACAUAGACAUAGGCAAAACAGAAAUAAAUUUGGCUACUC